rnacentral:misc_RNA from 1 species
UAGAGUUUUCUAAACUCCCAACCCAUGUGAACUUACCAUUGUUGCCUCGGCAGAAGCUGCUCGGUGCACCUUACCCUGGAACGGCCUACCCUGUAGCGCCUUACCCUGGAACGGCUUACCCUGUAGCGGCUGCCGGUGGACUACCAAACUCUUGUUAUUUUAUUGUAAUCUGAGCGUCUUAUUUUAAUAAGUCA